AUUGAACGCUGGCGGCAGGCCUAACACAUGCAAGUCGAGCGGAUGAAGGGUGCUUGCUCCUGGAUUCAGCGGCGGACGGGUGAGUAAUGCCUAGGAAUCUGCCUGGUAGUGGGGGAUAACGUCCGGAAACGGGCGCUAAUACCGCAUACGUCCUGAGGGAGAAAGUGGGGGAUCUUCGGACCUCACGCUAUCAGAUGAGCCUAGGUCGGAUUAGCUAGUUGGUGGGGUAAAGGCCUACCAAGGCGACGAUCCGUAACUGGUCUGAGAGGAUGAUCAGUCACACUGGAACUGAGACACGGUCCAGACUCCUACGGGAGGCAGCAGUGGGGAAUAUUGGACAAUGGGCGAAAGCCUGAUCCAGCCAUGCCGCGUGUGUGAAGAAGGUCUUCGGAUUGUAAAGCACUUUAAGUUGGGAGGAAGGGCAGUAAGUUAAUACCUUGCUGUUUUGACGUUACCAACAGAAUAAGCACCGGCUAACUUCGUG
rnacentral:rRNA from 1 species